AAGACCGAAAUCAGUCUAUUCAACCAAGGUAAGGAUCUGUCUGAAUAUCAAAUACCCAGAUGACUCAACAGGAGAAGGGUCAAUUUCAAGGAAAGACUUAAAUUGUUUGAAUCUUGUAAUCUGAAAGGUAAGAAUCUUUUAGAUUACCAAAAAACACAGUCCAGCAUUCAUAGAUCCAUCAUGUGCAGCUACAUGGCUCACAGUCUGAUCUCCUCUCCUUCAACAUGAGGCAGGUAUUGUAGGACCUGCUUUAUAAGGAGAGGCAAUAUCAAGCGGUCAUUUGGACAACAUGGAUAAAAAAGGUAUAAGAAAGCUGAGGGACUUACGUGAAGGACAAAUGUUUUAGUCUUUCAACAUACUUAGCCAACAGGUUGACCUGCCCAUCAAUCCACUCUGGAAUCCCUCCAACUGAGACCUGUUUUAAUGCAGAUGUUCUGCUCACUCAGUAGGCCAGCUGAGGCCACAGUGUUCUUCUAGACCGCUCCAUUGAUCAGAACCUAUUU
ensembl:lncRNA